AUUGAACGCUGGCGGAAUGCUUUACACAUGCAAGUCGAACGGCAGCACGGACUUCGGUCUGGUGGCGAGUGGCGAACGGGUGAGUAAUGUAUCGGAACGUGCCCAGUCGUGGGGGAUAACGUAGUGAGAAUUACGCUAAUACCGCAUACGAUCUAUGGAUGAAAGCGGGGGAUCGCAAGACCUCGCGCGAUUGGAGCGGCCGAUAUCAGAUUAGGUAGUUGGUGGGGUAAAGGCCCACCAAGCCAACGAUCUGUAGCUGGUCUGAGAGGACGACCAGCCACACGGGAACUGAGACACGGUCCAGACUCCUACGGGAGGCAGCAGUGGGGAAUUUUGGACAAUGGGCGAAAGCCUGAUCCAGCCAUUCCGCGUGCAGGAUGAAGGCCCUCGGGUUGUAAACUGCUUUUGUACAGAACGAAAAGGUUUCUACUAAUACUAGGAGCUCAUGACAGUACUGUAAGAAUGAGCACCGGCUAACUACGUGCCAGCCGCCGCCGUAA
rnacentral:rRNA from 1 species